rnacentral:rRNA from 1 species
UACGUAGGGUGCGAGCGUUAAUCGGAAUCACUGGGCGUAAAGGGAGCGUAGGCGGCGCGGUAAGUCAGAUGUGAAAUCCCGGGGCUCAACCCCGGAACUGCAUCCGAUACUGCCGUGCUAGAGGAUUGGAGAGGUAGCUGGAAUUCUUGGUGUAGCAGUGAAAUGCGUGGAGAUCAAGAGGAACACUCGUGGCGAAAGCGAGCUACUGGACAAUAUCUGACGCUGAGGCUCGAAGGCCAGGGUAGCGAAAGGG